AUUGAACGCUGGCGGCAUGCCUUACACAUGCAAGUCGAACGGCAGCACGGGUGCUUGCACCUGGUGGCGAGCGGCGAACGGGUGAGUAAUACAUCGGAACGCACCUUAUCGCGGGGGAUAACGCAGCGAAAGCUGUGCUAAUACCGCAUACGCCCUGAGGGGGAAAGCGGGGGAUCGCAAGACCUCGCGCGAUUAGAGCGGCCGAUGCCUGAUUAGCUUGUUGGUGGGGUAAAAGCCCACCAAGGCGACGAUCAGUAGCUGGUCUGAGAGGACGAUCAGCCACACUGGGACUGAGACACGGCCCAGACUCCUACGGGAGGCAGCAGUGGGGAAUUUUGGACAAUGGGGGCAACCCUGAUCCAGCAAUGCCGCGUGAGUGAAGAAGGCCUUCGGGUCGUAAAGCUCUUUUGUCAGGGAAGAAACACCGGCUCUAACACAGUCCGGGAAUGACGGUACCUGAAGAAUAAGCACCGGCUAACUACGUGCCAGCAGCCGCCGUAA
rnacentral:rRNA from 1 species